UAGCGUCUUCAUACUUUUUGUGGUUUAUGUAGAAUAAGCCUAUAAUCUUGCGGCGCCUCAAUUCCAUCUUCCCACCGGCCAACCGCGGAUCCCCGCAAAGCUCCGGUAAGAAAACAGACCCAGCGACGGGAGCCGGCCGGGGUUUUUCCGUCUGAAGCCUCUUCAAGUCCGCCAGUCGACUUCUGCUACUUUCACAUUUCAUCCGCCGACAUAAAGAGAUGACCAAACAGAUUAACCUCCAGCUGUUGAUGACAUGGUGACUAUCUGGAGGCCACAGCCUGAUGGAACCAGGACUGCGAAGCUGCAUCCCUGUCAGUCAGGCCCCCCUCAGCGCUCAGCCACUCAGGGACCUUGUUCACGGCGUCAGCAUCUACAGUGUCAAGGUGCUUGGAAGAAGCUCGUCCCCUCUUUUCAGCCACCUUUUCUCUGGAUACCAGGAAUGAGUGCAGUGUCCCAGGGAUGGACCGAGUGGACAACCUGGCGGAGUAUUUGGUGGGGCUGAGGACUGAAACUGGACAAACACUGAGCGACCGGCAGGCCACCACCAGCAGAGCCCUGUGGUACAACCUUCUGCAUACGACCAGCAGCGAGUGGCAUACGCUGCACAAUAUAUAUUUAUUUUAUAUAUAUCUGUCGCUAAUUUCUGUGUGUGUGUAUGUUUUUGGUUACAAUUGUGUAUGUGAGAGAGAGUUAAGGUGUAUAUUUUGUAAUACAUUUGAAAUAUAUUUCUCCAGCAUUACUUUUGACUUAUUUCUACUAAACAUGUCUGUAAAAACAGGAGUCAGGUAAAGUUUAGCUUUUUGCAAACUCAAGCAGAUAAUGAAAUAACAAGAAAGGAAGCAAACAGUAUUGAAACAGUUCCACAUUGUCCAGUCAUCUAGACGAGGCAGCUGCAUUGUUGCAGUGCUUUACUCCAUUCGUCGUUAAUUAGAUUGUAUCCUUGAAUUGCAUCUUUUUUUCUAAAGCAAACACACCAAGUUACAUGUGUGACCAGUGGUUCUUACAAAUGUUUCUCACAUUGCUAUACAAUUCCACAUUAUGUACCAUUAAAUACCACGGAGUAUUACUAUUUGGUUGUAUGCCAUUCAGAAUAUCCCACAGUCCUAUUUGUAUUGCUUUUUAAGUGAUUUUUGAAAGAUUCACAACGCUUGGUAAGAGUUUGUGUUAAUGGAGAUAUGUUCCAUGUGGGGGAUCUGUUAAAAAGAAAUAGUUGUGUAACUUUCAAGACAAAAUACAUGAC